rnacentral:rRNA from 1 species
ACUCCUACGGGAGGCAGCAGUGGGGAAUAUUGGACAAUGGGCGCAAGCCUGAUCCAGCCAUGCCGCGUGAGUGAUGAAGGCCCUAGGGUUGUAAAGCUCUUUCACCGGUGAAGAUAAUGACGGUAACCGGAGAAGAAGCCCCGGCUAACUUCGUGCCAGCAGCCGCGGUAAUACGAAGGGGGCUAGCGUUGUUCGGAUUUACUGGGCGUAAAGCGCACGUAGGCGGACUAUUAAGUCAGGGGUGAAAUCCCGGGGCUCAACCCCGGAACUGCCUUUGAUACUGGUAGUCUUGAGUUCGAGAGAGGUGAGUGGAAUUCCGAGUGUAGAGGUGAAAUUCGUAGAUAUUCGGAGGAACACCAGUGGCGAAGGCGGCUCACUGGCUCGAUACUGACGCUGAGGUGCGAAAGCGUGGGGAGCAAACAGGAUUAGAUACCCGAGUAGUCCCAUG